GACGAACGCUGGCGGCGUGCUUAACACAUGCAAGUCGAACGAAGAGCGAUGGAAGCUUGCUUCUAUCAAUCUUAGUGGCGAACGGGUGAGUAACGCGUAAUCAACCUGCCCUUCAGAGGGGGACAACAGUUGGAAACGACUGCUAAUACCGCAUACGAUCUAAUCUCGGCAUCGAGGAAAGAUGAAAGGUGGCCUCUACAUGUAAGCUAUCACUGAAGGAGGGGAUUGCGUCUGAUUAGCUAGUUGGAGGGGUAACAGCCCACCAAGGCGAUGAUCAGUAGCCGGUCUGAGAGGAUGAACGGCCACAUUGGGACUGAGACACGGCCCAGACUCCUACGGGAGGCAGCAGUGGGGAAUCUUCCGCAAUGGACGAAAGUCUGACGGAGCAACGCCGCGUGAGUGAUGACGGCCUUCGGGUUGUAAAGCUCUGUUAAUCGGGACGAAAGGCCUUCUUGCAAAUAGUGAGAAGGAU
rnacentral:rRNA from 1 species